rnacentral:rRNA from 1 species
ACGGAAGGCAGCAGUGAGGAAUAUUAGGCAAUGGAGGAAACUCUGACCUAGCGACGCCGCGUGAAGGAAGAAGGUUUUCGGAUUGUAAACUUCUUUUAUGAGGGACGAUAAUGACGGUACCUCAUGAAUAAGCCACGGCUAACUACGUGCCAGCAGCCGCGGUAAUACGUAGGUGGCAAGCGUUGUCCGGAUUUACUGGGUGUAAAGGGCGAGUAGGCGGGCUUGCAAGUCAGAUGUGAAAUACCGGAGCUCAACUCCGGGGCUGCAUUUGAAACUGUGAGUCUUGAGUGAUGGAGAGGCAGACGGAAUUCCCAGUGUAGCGGUAAAAUGCAUAGAGAUUGGGAAGAACACCAGUGGCGAAGGCGGUCUGCUGGACAUUAACUGACGCUGAGGAGCGAAAGUGUGGGGAGCAAACAGGAUUAGAUACCCUGGUA